UAAGGCUGUUCGAAUAAGACAAAGUAGACAAAGUUUGAGAUUACGAACAAAAUGCAACAAAAACUUUGUUAGAAACGUACGUCACUGUACGAAAAAAAACCCACAACAAAUAAAAUUACAAAAAUGUGAUCGUCGUUUCAACUUUGGUGUCGCAGCUCUCCAUCCACUCCAUGCUGUUUUUGGCGGAUAAACAGCAUCCAGUUCGAAUGAGAAAACUUUGUUCUCGUGUAUGCCCAUGAGAGUGUGGGUGUAUUCACGAGGACUCCCAGUUUUUCCGUCAUUCAACUCUUCAGCGGAUGGCGUACUUGUGGAUGGAUGUCUGGCUGUAAUUCCCAGGCUCAAAGAUUUGAGCCCCGCACCAGCCAUUAUAACCACAAGUUAUUCAAGUUUUUCUUGUACUGGGAUUGACCUGUCAUCAGAAACAAUGUCAGCAUCAUCACUUGGAUAAACAGCAUCCCUCUUAUUGGAGAAACAAUCAACGUCUGUCCGAAUUACGGAUCUCUUCAUCCCUUUCUUCCUAUCCUGCUGCCUGGUGGAUUUAACUCUUCAGCUGAUGGAUGGAGCAACUGUGGAUGCCUGGCUGUAUUGUCCCAGGCAUAAAGGUAGGACAACAUUGAUCUC